AGCUCAAAUUUGAAAUCUGGCGUCUUUGGCGUCCGAGUUGUAAUUUGCAGAGGGCGCUUUGGCAUUGGCAGCGGUCCAAGUUCCUUGGAACAGGACGUCACAGAGGGUGAGAAUCCCGUACGUGGUCGCUAGCCUUUACCGUGUAAAGCCCCUUCGACGAGUCGAGUUGUUUGGGAAUGCAGCUCUAAAUGGGAGGUAAAUUUCUUCUAAAGCUAAAUACUGGCCAGAGACCGAUAGCGCACAAGUAGAGUGAUCGAAAGAUGAAAAGCACUUUGGAAAGAGAGUUAAAAAGCACGUGAAAUUGUUGAAAGGGAAGCGCUUGCAGCCAGACUUGCCUGUAGUUGCUCAUCCGGGUUUUUACCCGGUGCACUCUUCUACGGGCAGGCCAGCAUCAGUUUGGGCGGUUGGAUAAAGGUCUCUGUCACGUACCUCCUCUCGGGGAGAUCUUAUAGGGGAGACGACAUGCAACCAGCCUGGACUGAGGUCCGCGCAUCUGCUAGGAUGCUGGCGUAAUGGCUGUAAGCGGCCCGUCUUGAAACACGGACCAAGGAGUCUAACAUCUAUGCGAGUGUUUGGGUGUCAAGCCCGAGCGCGUAAUGAAAGUGAACGGAGGUGGGAACCUUUCGGGGUGCACCAUCGACCGAUCCUGAUGUCUUCGGAUGGAUUUGAGUAAGAGCAUAGCUGUUGGGACCCGAAAGAUGGUGAACUAUGCUUGAAUAGGGUGAAGCCAGAGGAAACUCUGGUGGAGGCUCGCAGCGGUUCUGACGUGCAAAUCGAUCGUCAAAUUUGGGCAUAGGGGCGAAAGACUAAUCGAACUAUCUAGUAGCUGGUUCCUGCCGAAGUUUCCCUCAGGAUAGCAGUAACGUUUUCAGUUUUAUGAGGUAAAGCGAAUGAUUAGAGGCCUGGGGGUUGAAACAACCUU
rnacentral:rRNA from 1 species